AGGCACGCUAUUGUUAAGACUAAAAAGCUCCAUGGGGGCCCAGUGUGUGCAAUGGCUACAAAUAGCAGCUUCCUUGGUAGUGUAAUGCAGCCUGUUUCUUGUAUGGGUUGCUCUAAGGGACCUUGGAGACAAGC
ensembl:snoRNA SNORA70 Small nucleolar RNA SNORA70